UACGUAGGGUGCAAGCGUUGUCCGGAAUUAUUGGGCGUAAAGAGCUCGUAGGCGGUCUGUCGCGUCGGCUGUGAAGUCCCGAGGCUCAACCUCGGGUCUGCAGUCGAUACGGGCAAACUAGAGUAUUGCAGGGGAGACUGGAAUUCCUGGUGUAGCGGUGAAAUGCGCAGAUAUCAGGAGGAACACCGGUGGCGAAGGCGGGUCUCUGGGCAAUAACUGACGCUGAGGGACGAAAGCUAGGGGAGCGAAUGGG
rnacentral:rRNA from 1 species